UACGUAGGGGGCGAGCGUUGUCCGGAUUUACUGGGUGUAAAGGGUGCUCAGGCGGGUCUGUAAGUCAGGGGUGAAAUCCCAGAGCUUAACUCUGGAACUGCCUUUGAUACUGCAGAUCUCGAGUUUGGGAGAGGCGAGUGGAAUAUCUGGUGUAGCAGUGAAAUGCGUAGAGAUCAGAUAGAACACCAAUGGCGAAGGCAGCUCGCUGGCCCAAUACUGACGAUAAAGCACGAAAGAGUGGGGAGCAAACAGG
rnacentral:rRNA from 1 species